AUUGAACGCUGGCGGCAGGCCUAACACAUGCAAGUAGAACGAGCGGCGGACGGGUGAGUAAUGUCUGGGAAACUGCCCGAUGGAGGGGGAUAACUACUGGAAACGGUAGCUAAUACCGCAUACCAUCAGAUGUGCCCAGAUGGGAUUAGCUAGUAGGUGGGGUAAAGGCUCACCUAGGCGACGAUCCCUAGCUGGUCUGAGAGGAUGACCAGCCACACUGGAACUGAGAAACGGUCACGACUCCUCCGGGAGGCAGCAGUGGGGAAUAUUGCACAAUGGGCGCAGGCCUGAUGCAGCCAUGCCGCGUGUAUGAAGAAGGCCUUCGGGUUGUAAAGUACUUUCAGUGAGGAGGCGUUACUCGCAGAAGCAGCACCGGCUAACUCCGUGCCAGCAGCCGCGGUAAUUC
rnacentral:rRNA from 1 species